GUAGGGAAUCUUCCACAAUGGACGGAAGUCUGAUGGAGCAACGCCGCGUGAGCGAAGAAGGUUUUCGGAUCGUAAAGCUCUGUUGUGAGGGAAGAACAAGUAUAGGAGUAACUGCCUGUACCUUGACGGUACCUCAUUAGAAAGCCACGGCUAACUACGUGCCAGCAGCCGCGGUAAUACGUAGGUGGCAAGCGUUGUCCGGAAUUAUUGGGCGUAAAGCGCGCGCAGGCGGCCUUUUAAGUCUGAUGUGAAAGCCCACGGCUUAACCGUGGAAGGUCAUUGGAAACUGGAAGGCUUGAGUACAGAAGAGGAAAGCGGAAUUCCACGUGUAGCGGUGAAAUGCGUAGAGAUGUGGAGGAACACCAGUGGCGAAGGCGGCUUUCUGGUCUGUAACUGACGCUGAGGCGCGAAAGCGUGGGGAGCAAACAGGAUUAGAUACCC
rnacentral:rRNA from 1 species